GGCUUGGGUUGGGAAUGGACUCUUACCUCCCAACUGCACGGGCCCUCUCCCUACACUGCUCCAGGGCAAAACGGUCCAGUGGGAAAAAGGGAAAGUGAAAGAUGUACCCUACCCAGCCAAGUUACCUGUAUGUAAGCUAUGGCGCAGUGAACAGGAUCAUCAGAAGCCGCUCCGUUGAGAAAGGGAGCCUGGAAACCUGGUAUGCUGGCAAAACAGGGAACUGACUCAGCACAAGAAGACAGCUGUGACUCCCUAUGAUUUCAUCC